rnacentral:tRNA from 1 species
CUCUAUAGCUCAGUGGUUAGAGCAGGGGAUUCAUAAGCCCAAGGUCGUAGGUUCAAAUCCAACUAGAGC